rnacentral:rRNA from 1 species
CCGACAAGCGGUGGAGUAUGUGGUUAAUUCGAUGCAACGCGAAGAACCUUACCUGGUCUUGACAUCCCGGAGACCCUUAGGAACUAGGGGUGCUUCCAUCUGGAAGAAUCUGGAGACAGGUGCUGCAUGGCUGUCGUCAGCUCGUGUCGUGAGAUGUUGGGUUAAGUCCCGCAACGAGCGCAACCCUUGCCUUUAGUUGCCAGCAGUUCGGCUGGGCACUCUAAAGGGACUGCCGGUGUUAAACCGGAGGAAGGUGGGGAUGACGUCAAGUCCUCAUGGCCUUUAUGACCAGGGCUACACACGUACUACAAUGGCCGAUACAAAGGGCAGCGACACUGCGAGGUGAAGCCAAUCCCGUAAAAUCGGUCUCAGUCCGGAUUGGAGUCUGCAACUCGACUCCAUGAAGUUGGAAUCGCUAGUAAUCGUGGAUCAGCAUGCCACGGUGAAUACGUUCCCGGGCCUU